rnacentral:rRNA from 1 species
GAUGAACGCUGGCGGCGUGCCUAAUACAUGCAAGUCGAGCGAACAGACGAGGAGCUUGCUCCUCUGACGUUAGCGGCGGACGGGUGAGUAACACGUGGAUAACCUACCUAUAAGACUGGGAUCACUUCGGGAAACCGGAGCUAAUACCGGAUAAUCUAUUGAACCGCAUGGUUCAAUAGUGAAAGACGGUUUUGCUGUCACUUAUAGAUGGAUCCGCGCCGCAUUAGCUAGUUGGUAAGGUAACGGCUUACCAAGGCAACGAUGCGUAGCCGACGUGAGAGGGUGAUCGGCCACACUGGAACUGGGACACGGACCAGACUCCUACGGGAGGCAGCAGUAGGGAAUCUUCCGCAAUGGGCGAAAGCUUGACGGAGCAACGCCGCGUGAGUGAUGAAGGUCUUCGGAGCGUAAAACUCUGUUAUUAGGGAAGAACAAAUGUGUAAGUAACUAUGCACGUCUUGACGGUACCUAAUCAGAAAGCCACGGCUAACUACGUG